AGGAACAGGCGGACGAAACACGACGUCCGGACCUGACUUCUGUCCCUCAAGCGGAGAAAAGCCUCAAGUGCAAAUAUGCUUUCAAAUUUUGCAUGAGUCAGAUGAAGUUUGGAGACACCAGCGCCAUGCAGCGUCUAUUACAGGACGGCUCGAGGGUAAAUAUAUAUGUCAUUCUUACUGCCGAGACCUGGUACAUCUGGAUUAUCCACAAAAUGGGAAAUCACCAAGCUGCGUGCCAGCUCGUGAAGUAAGACAUUCAAGCAAAAAGAAUACUCAGAUGAGAAGAUUGAAGCGUCCAGAGGUUAAAUGGUUUUACAAAUGAGAAAAAUAAAAUGGAUUUUAUCGA